rnacentral:rRNA from 1 species
UGCCGCGUGCAGGAAGAAGGCCUUCUGGGUUGUAAACUGCUUUUACCAAGGAAGAAAACGCCCCUGCGGGGGUAACUGACGGUACUUGGUGAAUAAGCACCGGCUAACUCCGUGCCAGCAGCCGCGGUAAUACGGAGGGUGCAAGCGUUGUCCGGAUUUAUUGGGUUUAAAGGGUGCGUAGGCGGCCCGUUAAGUCAGCGGUGAAAUCCCGGGGCUCAACCCCGGAACUGCCGUUGAUACUGGCGGGCUUGAGUUCGGUGAAGGCGGGCGGAACUGGCGGUGUAGCGGUGAAAUGCUUAGAUACCGCCAAGAACCCCGAUUGCGUAGGCAGCUCGCUGUGCCGAAACUGACGCUGAGGCACGAAAGCGUGGGGAGCGAACAGGAUUAGAUACCCUGGUAGUCCACGCCGUAAACGAUGAUGACUCGAUGUUGGCGAUACACUGUCAGCGUCCAAGCGAAAGCGUUAAGUCAUCCACCUGGGGAGUACGCCCGCAAGGGUGAAACUCAAAGAAAUUUUGACGGA